rnacentral:rRNA from 1 species
GACGAACGCUGGCGGCGUGCCUAAUACAUGCAAGUAGAACGCAGUUGCGAACGGGUUAGUAACGCGUAGGUAACUGCCUGGUAGCGUGGGAUAACUAUUGGAAACGCUAGCUCAUACCGCAUACUACCAGCUGGACCUGCGUUGUAUUAGCUAGUUUGUGGGGUAACGGCUCACCAAGGCCACGAUACAUAGCCGACCUCGGAGGGUGAUCGGCAACACUGGGACUGAGACACGGCCCAAACUCCUACGGGAGGCAGCAGUAGGGAAUCUUCGGCAAUGGACGGAAGUCUGACCGAGCAACGCCGCGUGAGUGAAGAAGGUUUUCGGAUCGUAAAGCGCUGUUGUAAGAGAAGCGGUAUCUUACCAGAAAGGGACGGCUAACUACGUGCCAGCAGCCGCGGUAAUUC